CACAUUUAAAGGUUACGGAGGCGGUCAAAAUGGGGGGAGAUCACGCAGUAAGCCUAUCCAGAAAAGAGUUUGGCUCCGGAAAUACAACCUUUAUACCACAACAGAUGGAUCCGGGUUCCGGCUCACAGUGUUUUCUGGGAAGAGACCGGGGCGUUCAGAAGGCAUACGGCUGACAGUCGUUCAGCGUGAAUGUGGAUAUCCACUUGAAAGUAUGGCUGGCACUACUAGAGCCCUGUUCCCAGGCUCAGACCAUAGCAGAGUGUCAAACCCUCUGCCAGCUGAAUCGACUGAACACGCUGAACGUUUAAAAACCAGUCUGCGGAAGCUGAACCCAGCCAAUCCAGCGCGACUUGACUUGAAACUGGCUGCCUGUUAUGAAGUCAGUGCUCAGACAAGAGGAGAGAUGAGAAGACUUGAGGCCUGACUGGAAUGGCUUUUCUCACUAAAUGUCAUUUCCAUUUAAAGACAGGGUAUUACAGAAAAAGAUUUUGCCUAGUUUGGGCAUGCUUCUCAGUGUGUCUGGGACGUUAUUUAAGUGACGAGUAAACAAUAGACGAUUCAGCUAGUUUUUUCCUUGAGGAAUGUUGCCGGCAGGGAAAUCACGGAAGAGAUGAUACAGAAUAGUCGUGUAGAGGUGGAUGAAGGCCAGUUGUGAUGUCACUUCCAUCUGUUUUCAUGCAGUAGAGUAGCAGAUCUGCUUGUGAGGCGGGCAGGCCUACACUUCUCCUUAGUUACUUCUCCUUGCCAUACUUAAUAGCCUUAAGUAUUUCCAAAUAAUCUUUGGAAUCUGUUUGUUUUGAGACAGCUCUGCUUAAAUAGGAAAACAUUCGAAAGCACUAAAGCCAGUUGUUUAGGAAAUGGCGUUGCAUAUAUUUUCAGCAGGAGCUUUUAUCCAAAGCCUUUCAAGUGAGACUGAGAGCCUAACUUGUUGAAGUAAAUUUGAAGUAAAUAUUACGUGCUGAACGAUCACAACUUGAUAGUGCUGAGUAGUGUUCGACCGAUAUAUAAUCGGCCGAUAUUUGCGUUUUUAAGUGUAUCGUAUCGGCCGAUUUCUUUUCUGGUAUCUGACCUUUUUUUUCUGCAUGAUUUACAGACAGUUCAAUACAUUUUUCAAAUUUAGACAUUGUAACAUUUUUUAUCAUCAUUGUGUCAUUUCUAUGAUGAAAAUUGAGGGAGCCUUAGCCUGGAAAUCCAGACCCACGUCUAGAAAGCUGUAGGGUCUGGCAACGAGUAAUGAAAAUGGCCCAACUCGAGAGGCGGCACCAAGCAUGCAUUUCAAAAUAUCAGAAGAAUACAAGGGCUUUCGUAUCCAGACCUGUGGAGCAAACCAAUAGAUAAGACUCUUGCCGUAUCCGGUCGGUAAAACAGCAACGCUUUUGGCCCGCCUAUAUUGAUACAUCGAUGUGAUUGAUACAUUUUCUGGGCCAGGGGAGGCCCAGAAUAUACACAAGUAUAUUGCUCGUUCCUAGAGUGACUCGCUGAGCAAAUUCAAAUUGUGCUCUCGCAAGAACUCUGGAUUUCCAGGGUAGUAUCGGCUCAAGAAAAUCGGUAUCGGCGUAUCGGUUAUCGGCUAAGGCUGAUGAAAAAAAAUCGGUAUCGGCCCUAAAAAAUCCAUAUCGGUCGAACCCUGGUGCUGAGUAUCUCUAUUCUCUAGGAAUCCAAACGCCUUCUUAUAAAUGAACAGUGAAUAUUGAGACUCAUGAAAGAGAUGGACAGGGGUUGCACUAUCUUCGUCAGGGUUCCUUGGGCAUCCAACAGAGAACCUUUCAGCUAGGAGUCGAACCCCAAUGUAUACUGGUCACUAGUGACGGGAUAGGCCAUCGUUACUGGCGGGGUCAAACUGCACGCAGUGUGAGGGUUUGCUAAAUAAGGAACCUACUUCAUGUCAUGCUUUCGUAACAAAUGAACAGGAAGGAUGUAACCCCACCCCCAAGCCCAAGGUCGCCUUCUCACUUCCCUUUUUUAGCCAGCUGGUAUGGGUGGUGCCCUCUGAUAAGGAGGAGCUGGGACGCCUUGACCCAACUUGAGCUUCAGUGCAUCUGUGUCAGCUCUCUUGUUUUGGAAAGAUGCCCUUUGUGGCCAUGAUAAAUAGACAUCUCUAUUUUUAAAUGCGUUUCUGAAAAUGCCCACUUCUACACUGCCACUAUUGUGCAACCACCAUGACCAGUAUAAAAGGGAAAAUCUGCACCAAAUGGAGAAGGAAACAGCUGUCAACAGAAAUUAUUGCUGCCUCUUUUCAAACAAUUGCGGCCUUAAGUGGGUCACACACUAUUCAUGAAGCACUGCAUAGCGUCACUUAAAAGAUAGGACAACAAUAAGAAGCUUUUAGGCAAAACCACCAAAUUGAAUGUUUUGUUCUUCAGACUUUUGCUAAAGUGUGACUCCCAUCAACUUCUUCGCUUUGAGCACAGCUUUGGAUCAGAUACUUUACAUAGAAUACAUUUUGAUAUAGGUUGGCCUAGAUAUCGGUGUAUUAAUAAUAAGCAGGUCCUGCGUUACAUCUUGAAUCAGUUUCAGAAAGAGUGCCAUCUAAUGGUAGCUUUUUAAUCAAUCAUUUAAAAUGAACUUUUUAAUAAAAAACGUUAAGAUACAAAGGACACUUUGUAAUCCUAUAGAAGGGUUUUGUCUUUUUUGUUUGGUUGAGUCCCAUCUUAUUCUGAAGAAAGGCACAGUAGGAUUCUGGCGGCCAAGCUGAAGGAGAUCACAGGCUCAGCAGGGUACUGAAGGAGAAAGCUCUUCAAUGGUUUAAGCAGUCGAUUGGCAUAAUUCUUUUUACAUGUUUUGUUUGCAGUAUAGUCUAGGAACACUUGCUUUAAAAAAUAAAGUUUUGAAAAAUACAUCUAGUAUAUACCAUAUGAAAGAAUACACAUUGCUAUCACAUUUGUAUGAUAUUUUAUACAUUUGUGAAUGGUGACCAUUCAUCUUCCAAAAGGUAUAUAAAUAAU